rnacentral:tRNA from 1 species
GCCCUUGUGGCGGAACGGCAGACGCUACGGACUUAAAAUCCGUUGACCUUUAACGGUCGUGUGGGUUCGAUUCCCACCAAGGACA